rnacentral:lncRNA from 1 species
CAAUGGGGCCACUUCACAGAAUAUUCUGAAAUCUAAUCUGUGACACAGUGACACUACCUCGGCUCAUCAGACAUUCUCCAGUCAAAAGAUUGUGUCUAGCUGGCUUUGCUGACUACAGAGGGGAGAAGUAACUGUUAGAAAUGGCCUGCUCUCUCCAGGUUUGUGGAGGCAAAGGUGGACGGACAUGUUUCUAGUGAGCAAGGGGCAGGACCAGAAACUUCUAAAAAGGGAUGCCUGGAUGGAAUCCUCAUGCUGGAGUCUGAGGGACAGUCCAGCAGCAGCUGUCAGAUAACUGAAUACAACUCGGGUGGAACCAUGCACCAGCCGCUGCAGGAGGAAGAGGCCGUGGAGAAGGAAGCUGACCACAGGCCCCCAGCCACCGGACCACAGGGAGGAGAUGUUGCACCGGAAGGGCACCUAGGUUUCCAUCCUCGCUUGUCAACAAGCUCAGCUCUCGGUGGAAAGUGACAAUGGCCAGUCUGUAAAUGAUAAACCGAAGGAUUAGUACACUGAGAACUGAGUGGAAGAGCCCUCUGAAAGAAACCGUAACACAAAUGCGUCUGAUAUGAAGAGGAUGAAAGAAAGAAUGGAAGCCAAAAUGAAAAAAAAUAGGACACUGAAAAAAAACAAAAACAAAAUGACACCAGGUAAUUGAAUAAUAUGGCAGGUAGUCCAAUUUAGAACUGAAAUCCAGCUCUAUAAACUAAGACAUAUUCCUACUCCCUACUUGUUGGUUGAUUGGCUUGUUUUUCAAAGAACCCUAACCAUUAGGAAUUAUAUAUAUUCAAAGAAUGAAAUCUUUUCAUUCUCUUGCCAAGAAACAAAUUCAUAUUUUAAGAUCUUAAUAUAGUCUGUGCAUCUUAUUUUAAGUAACUUGAUUGGAUCAUAUAAUGGAUUGAGAGUGGCUCCUCUUCAAAGGAAGUUAUUUUCAAAAUUGUGGAAUUUUAGGUGAUUAGCAGUUAAAGGCUUUCUUUGGUUGUGUAUUCUAAACUAUCAUAGGAAAUAUUAAUAUUCUUUUUUUAUUUAAAAACAUUUUAGACCUACAGAAAAGUUGCAGAAAUAGUACAAAGAAGUGUACGUACCCCUUUACCCAGAUUUUCCACAUCAAAACCUAUUACUGUUUAUAUACAAGUAUCUUUUCCUGAAUCAUUUGAGAGUAAAUUGUAGAUAUGAGGCCUCUUUACUUCUAUAUACUUCAGUGUUUAUUUCUUUAAAACAAGGUAGUUUCAUAUAAAACCAUAUAAUUAUCAAAACCAGAAAGUUUACACUGAUGUGAUACUAGUAUCUAAUCUACAGACCAGGAACGCCUGGGUGGCUCAGUGGUUGAGCAUCUGCCUUCGGCCCAGGGCAUGAUCCUGGAGACCAGGAUCGAAUCCCACAUCAGGCUCCUGCAGGGAGCCUGCUUCUCCCUCUGCCUGUGUCCCUGCCUCUCUCUCUGUCUCUCAUGAGUAAGUAAAUAAAAUCUUAAAAAAAAAAAAAAAUCUACA